ensembl:lincRNA
CUGGAGGUUAAAACACUCUGAUUCUCUGCAAGAGUUCAGGAGGGAAAGACGACCUCUGUGUCUCUGCAGUAUGAUGGUGAGAGGCUGCAUGUUUUUAAGCCCAGCAGUCUUAGUUAUGGAGAUUAUAGACUUGAAUUCUAGCCCUUUUGUCACCAAGACCUUUUAACAUCUGUGUUGCAGUGGGACCAAUCUAAUACUUGCACCUCCUACCUUACUGUGACGAGAAAAUAAAAUGUUGUCGAAAGCCUUUUGCAGAUUUCAGAGUGUUCCUCAAAUGUAAGAUGGUAUUUCAGUAAUGAUAAUGCCAAAGAUAAUGAAAAUUGCUUGUGGGAAUUGCUACUUCUCUCAUGCUUCCUAAGUUUUGCAUAGAUGAGAAGAAUACGUGCAAUGAAUAGAAUAAUAAAUGUCAUUUAUAUAACUAUGUGAAGGAAUGAAUUGAACAGAACUGUAAAUUACCUUUUCAUAGUAUUUCUAUUGAAU